rnacentral:lncRNA from 1 species
CUUUAAAAAAAAAAAAGCUAAAAUACGAAAGUAAAAUUCCAGUGUCACUGUUUAAAACGAGCACACGGAAGGGUAGGCAGGGGCCGGGUGCUGUCCUCCAGCUGCAGGCUGCGGGUGCUGUCAGGAAGCUGCGGGCACUCCGCCCUCAGGACUUGUUGGCCGAGCCCGAGGAGCGCCGCAGCUUCAUGGACAUGCGGCUCUUGCUAGUCCGAGGAGACAUGGGUGAGGCUAAGUCGGUUCCAUCCGCCUGCGCUGCUGCUGCUGCUGCUGCUGGAGGCUCUCCCGGCUGAGUCUCUGGGCAGGAGCCUUCAGAUAAAC